GCUAGCUCGAGGCCACAGCAGUAGCAUGAAUAGCUACCGCCUCUGGUAAAUUUGGACGCGGCCAGUGCACCUGGCUGCUUGAGCCCUCAGUAACUCGCUUGAGUAGCGAGGCCGGGGCAAUGCUAGAGAGCCUAGAUUGCAGUCAAGAUAGGAGUAGUCUAGUGUUGUGGCGAGCUUGUUAUCCCUGUAGAACAUGGAGAAGUCAAGGAUACCCUGGAAGGCCUUGGUGUGCUCGGCGAGCUAAGGGUUAGUGAUGAAAUCCACGUAGCUGGUGUCGCUGGACUACCAGUGCGUCCAGCUAGACACUCAUGGCAACAUGCAUGAUUGCUCGUCUCCCGUGUGCUGCGGCCACGGUCACAAGCAUAGCUGUCCCGCCGCAACAGCCUGAGUUUGCCGAGAGCCAAGUAGCUGCUAAGCAACAGUACUCCUACAUGGAUCUGUACCCCCACGCUCAUGGAUGUGGCCACCAGAAGCAAAGAUCUGGCAAGAGCAUGGACAAAUCGAUAUGGACAAAUAUGGACAAAUCGAUAAACUUUGUGAGAGAUUCAAGAUUGACGAAAAAGAGGAAGCGGUGGACAAGGAGCACACUGGCAGGGAGUAUUUUUUAGCACCGCCCGCUGGUUGUAGUUAAUUUUUCAUAGGAACUGCUGUAAUUUAGUGCACAACUGAUAAAACAAGAUAGCAUUUGAAUAUGUCAAAUGAUGCACAAUUGGGACAACAGUUCAGAGA
rnacentral:lncRNA from 1 species